rnacentral:misc_RNA from 1 species
AACGCUCGCGGACCGUCGACGUGUAUUGAUCAGUAUGCUUAGCAUUCAUCACUCUCGUAUGUAUACUUCGUUGUAUAUGUGUGAGUGUUGAUGGAUGUUGGACUUAAUGAGUAUCCGCUCCGGAUAUCGCCAAUCAUAUUUAUAUUGUAUCCAAAAACAAAGACUCAUUACUACUCCUAGUGGUGGAUCACUCGGCUCGCAGGUCGAUGAAGAACGCAGCUAGCUGCGAUAGUUGGUGCGAAUUGCAAACACAUUGAGCACUAAACUUUCGAACGCAUAUUGCGCCGUCGGUUUUUCCGUCGGCAGGUCUGUCUGAGGGUUACAAACAAGUACUUGCAAGAUAACGCUGGCAUGUUGCGUUAUUUUGUUUAGCGAGAAGCUCGGUGUGCAUGUGUGAUAUGUGCUAGUGUGUCACACAUGUUUCGUCCUUCUCUGGUUUGUCAUUUUCAUUGAUAUAUAAUCAUCUGAAUCACAAACACGUGCAAGUAGUGUUGGCUGGUGUUGGUUGAUGAUAUAAUAUCAUUUUGCAAUUGCAACCUCAGAUCAGUCCUGAUUACCCGCUGAACUUAAGCAUAUC